ensembl:snRNA U6 U6 spliceosomal RNA
GUUCUCCCUUCAGCAACACAUACACUAAAAUUGGACCAAUGCAGAGAAGACUAGCAUGGCCCUUGUGCAAGAAUGACAAGCAAAUUCAUGGAAGGAAGGAAGGAAGG